GGGAGAGCCACCGGCAAGACCAGGUCUUGACUACUGCAGCCACCCUGCUCGAUACCUCGGCCAAGUUCUUCUCUAUUUGGAAGUCUGGUCCAAACCAAACCUCUAGCAACUUAUUCGGACCCUCUAGCUCCUCUUGCCUCUGCAUGUG